AUUACAUAAUGAAGGCAACAUGGAGCACAGAUUGCCUGUUUGUGUGGCUCCACCUCAUGAUUGAGGGGGGGGGGGGGGGGGUUCUGGCUCAUCACUAUGGAGCCAUGGAGCUCGGAUUAUUGCAGCUUUAAACUCAAUCUAUUUCAAAUAGUUCUAUCUUUGAUCUUUAUUCCGCAUCCUUGAUAAGCAGUUGAAAUCCAGUCACGGUUUCCAGCCCGUUUUUAUGAGCUCGUCUCUUCCUCUUCCUCACUGCCGGACACGGCGGUUCCGGUCCAGAGGCCUCGUUCUGCUCCGCCACCACCUCCACUGACGGCACCGACACAGACACAGGCUUCUCUUUGGGCUUUUUCUUUUUCUGAAAUGAAAGACGUUUUCUUCAUAUUGUGUUUAGCUGAUAUGAAUAAAGCAAAACAUUUAUCACA